GACGAACGCUGGCGGCGUGCUUAACACAUGCAAGUCGAGCGGUAAGGCCCUUUCGGGGUACGACGAGCGGCGAACGGGUGAGUAACACGUGGGUGACCUGCCCUCAGCUCUGGGAUAAGCCCGGGAAACUGGGUCUAAUACUGGAUAUGACUCCAUGACGCAUGUUGUGGGGUGGAAAGCCUUGUGCGGCGUGGGGAGUGGGCCCGCGGCCUAUCAGCUUGUUGGUGGGGUGAUGGCCUACCAAGGCGACGACGGGUAGCCGGCCUGAGAGGGCGACCGGCCACACUGGGACUGAGACACGGCCCAGACUCCUACGGGAGGCAGCAGUGGGGAAUCUUGCGCAAUGGGCGAAAGCCUGACGCAGCGACGCCGCGUGAGGGAUGACGGCCUGG
rnacentral:rRNA from 1 species